AUUAAGCGGUAUUGAGUUUAAUUCGCACUAUUGUUUGAUUGACAUGUUUACGUGCAAGCGAAUAUUUUUAGAAACCAAUUAAUUAUGUUAUGACUGGGGCGUGUAGUCAUGAAAGGCGGGCUUUCCUGCAGGCCCUUAAUCCUCCCCCGGAGCCCGCCAAAAUCCUGCCCGCUGCAAAUCAGGCCCCCCAUAAAUUUGAGGGCCUGCCACGCAGGCUAAUGAGAAACAUA